UAGUUAAGUUACAGGGCUGGACACAUCAAAAUAGGAAUGGCCUAGCUCUAGCAACGUGGCUCAGUUGGUUAAAGAAUCAUUCAUCCCAUACACCAGAAGGUUGCAGGUUUGAUUCCCAGUCAGGGCAUAUGCCUAGGUUAUGAGUCUGAUCUCCAAUUGGGGUGUGUACAGGAGGCAAACAAUAGAUGUUUCUCUCUCACAUUGAUAUUUCUCUCUCCCUCCCCCAUUCUCCUCCCCCAAAAUAAAAAACCAUAUCCUCAUGAGGAUUAAGAAAGAAAGGCCUUGCUAGGUUCCUCCGUCUAUCAAACAUUAAUUUAAAUUAAACUAUAAUUUUAUCUCCCUCUGGUAGCAGGCCCUCUAUCUAAAUUAUUUGCACACGCACACGCACACGCACGCACGCACACACACACAAGACAAAAACUGGAAUGGUCUGUAUAUGUAACUGCUCAGAAAAGACUGUCAAGUAGAGGUCCCAAUGGGCUUCUCUUCUCAAAAGAUCACAGAUUUAAGUGGCAUAUGAAUUACUUUUCUACAGGUAUUGAGGUCUUAGAAACUUUUAGACUUAAUCUAGAAGCAUCUCCUUAAAAUCUUGACUAGGCUCUUAAUUUGGCUCACAUUUUCUUAAAUUUUAGUUCAUUCUUGUUUUUUAAUGGACACAAUUUUUAGAGCACUUUCAGGCUCACUGUGACAUUGAGCAGAAAGUACAAGAGUUCUUCCAUAUAACCCCUGCCCCCACACAUGCACAGCCUCCCCCACCUCUUCUACCAACGUGGUACAGUUAAUGAACCUAUCGUCCAUGUUUGUUAGUUCACCUUGGUGUUGUACAUUCUGUGGGUUUUGAUAAAUGUAUGACACAUACCCACCAUCAUAGUAUCACACAGAAUAGUUUCACUGCCCCUGGGCUCCACUUAUUCAUCCCUCUCCCCCCACUAAACCCUGAAAACCUUUUUGUUUCCAUAUUUUUGCCUUUUCCGGGAUUUCACAUAGUUGGAAUCAUAUAGUAUGUAGCCUUUUCAGAUGGUCUUCUUUUACUUACUGAUAUGCAUUUAAAUAUCCUCCAUGUCUUUUCCUGGCUUUAUAGCUCAUUUCUUUUUAAUGCUGGAUCAUUCCAUUGUCUAGAUGCCUCACAGUUUACCCAUUCUUUUUCAGAAGAAUUCUAAGACAUUUAUUUUGGCAACACAUAACAGGAACGUCACAGACAGUAGCUAACACAAGUAAGGUGUUUAUUAUUCAUGUAACCAAGUAUAUAGGUAGGCAGUUUAGGCAGGAAUAGCCUCUCUCAUCCACCAUAGUUAGAAUCUGACUUGGGUCUUCAUGUCUGCAAGAUGGUAACUCCAAUUCCAGGUGUAGGAGAUCUAUAUUUUAAGCAGAAAGUAAGGUCAGUUUUGGACAGGAGACAAAAAAGGUGGCAAAGGUCAAAAUAAAGGAAUAUGUGCUUAGUGAGUGUGCCCCCUUUAACAGCCUUUGAUGAGAGCCUCACCCAACCCAUUAUUUUUUUGUUAAUCCUCACCCGAGGAUAUUUUUCUUUUCUUUUUAUAUUUUAUUGAUUUUUUACAGAGAGGAAGGGAGAGGGAUAGAGAGUUAGAAACAUCGAUGAGAGAGAAACAUCGAUCAGCUGCCUCCGGCACACCCCCUACUGGGGAUGUGCCCGCAACCAAGGUACAUGCCCUUGACCGGAAUCAAACCUGGGACCCUCAGUCCGCCGGCUGACGCUCCAUCCAGUGAGCCAAACCAGCUAGGGCAAGGAUAUUUUUCCAUUGACUUUUGGAGAGAGUGGAAGGGAGGGGGAGAGACAGUGUCACAUGGACUGGUUGCCUCCCACACGCACCCCAACCGGGCCCGGGGAUUGAACCUGAAACCCAGGUAAGCGCCCUUGACCAGGAAUUAAACCCAAGACCCUUCCAUGUGUGGGCCAACAUGCUACCCACUGAGCAAUACCAGCCAGGGCCCAACCAAUAAUUUGCAUGUGACUGACCAGCAUUUAUGGCUACAUGGAAUCCUGGGAAGCCAGCUCAUCUCAGUUUGUUCACAUGGAUAACAGAUCCAGAUAGCCUGCAAGUAGGUCGACCAGCCUUCCUGGUUUGCAUGAUACAUGGAGCGAUUCCUGGGAUGCUGGGCAAACGAAAUGAGUUGGUUACCUUCUUAGUGAGAUAGUUUCUGCCCUUUUGCAGCCAUCAUUGAAGCAGCAGCAUCCAGAAAUGAAGUUUAAUUCCUUUGUGACUUCUGA